UAUGUUUGUAUGUAUGUACAUGCAUGUGUAUUUAUGCGCAUAUGCAUGUAUGGGUUACAAACCUGUAUAUGUA
rnacentral:miRNA from 14 species